ACCCAGUACCGUAGCUGUUAACUCCACUACUAAGCUAAACCCCACUCUUUUUUACUUUAAAAUUUUGAGAUAGGGUCUUAGGGUCUCCCUAGGUCACCCAAGCUGGCCUUGAACUUGUGAUCCUCCUGCCUCUGCCUUUGAGAUGGCUGGAAUUAUAGGCAGCACCACCAUGCUUGGCUAGUGACUGACCAACUUUUGACAUGGAGCAAUUAUGUUAAACCCCAAUCUAAUUCCCAGUCUUGUCACAUUGGGGGUUGGGGACUUGGACUUGGUUUAGUGGUAGAACAGGAAUUUGGCACGCAUGAGACCCCAAGUUCAGUCCCCAGCAUGUGUGCAGGACACACACACACACACAUCAACACCAGUUAGUUUAGUAGAAACUACUAAGUCACCUGUGGCUUAUUUACCUAAUGUCUAUUCUCUUUGCUGGGUGUUACCCAGGAGGGCAGGAGGGAUGGUUGUUGAGGACCCAGGAUGCUAACCACCCUUUUCCUGUACGAUGGCUUUACUUUCUUUCUUUCUUUUCUUUUUUUUUUUUUAAGUUGUAGUUGGACACAGUAUCUUUAUUUUAUUUAUUUAUUUCUAUGUGGUACUGAGGAUCGUACCAAGGGUCUCGCACAUGCUAGCAAGCGCUCUACCACCAAGCCACAACCCUGGCCUUUAGCUUUACUUUUCCUUAGCUCCUUCUACUCAUUUUCUUGGACCUCUUAUCCUGUGUUCUGUCUGCUUGCAGACAAGAUGGAUAUGUGAGCGCCAAGGACCUUUUGUUCCUGCCUGUUCUGUUUCAUGGGAAUUAGCAUCACCUGCUCAGUGGAAGGAACCUGGGGUCUGAAAUAGGAGGACAGAUCUGGAUUGGAAUUAUACAACACAACCAAUCAGGCAGUGAAGACUUUCCUGCCUUGUCGCUAAGCCUGGUAAACUAAGAAGAGCUUGAGUGUCCCUACCCCUACAGCUGUACUGUACAGAGCAGCUGAGGGUUUCUACAGGGGACACAUGUAGGAUCUGCCUGGCUUCAGGAAGUGAGAGGCCUGAAUUCACACUUAAUGGGCAUCCAGUCCGCCUAAGUCCUACCUGAGAAUCCGGUGUGGAUUUACCAGUAGCCCCUCACCCGCCAACUCCCUGGGUUUGGAGAGAAGGAAGAUCUAUAACAGCAGCCAGAGGUGCCCCCUGAGCCUGGUGCUUGGAGCAAGGCUUCCCCUGGAGCUGGAGCUUCUGCCUAAGGCAAACUGGGAGCCCCAAACCUGGGAAGACAGGAUUUGUGUAAGCGCAUAAGAAAGAAACACACUGCUGUUGCUUUCAGCUACCUGGGAGUGGAAGGCCCUCCUGCAGAGGCCAAGGGGGCUCUGGGCUGUGCAGCAAGGCACCCAAUUAUUCAUCCUGCUCCUCUCCUCCUUCCUCCCUGAACCCCACCCUCCCCUUUUCAAAGGAACAACCAUCUGUGGGAUGCUGCGUCCAUCACCCACUUGGCCCAGAGAGGAUGCCAGCUCCUUACAAACCCUCCAGUAGGAUCAGUGCUUUAAAAUCAUACCACAUUGUCCAGCUGUCAUCGACAGAGGAGGACAGGAACAUUUGUCCAGGUGUCCCCUUGAGCUCUUUCUCACCCCCACAGCCAUUUAAAGUGUCCCUCAAGGCUGCAUUUAAAAUAUCACCUUACUGGGCCUGGGAGGAGCUUGGUGGGAGCCCCAUUCAAGCACCAACACAACAACAACGGAAAAAACAAAGAACAUCUCAAAAACACCUUACAGUUUGGUGUUUGUUAUUUACCAAAAUUAAAUAAAAAACCUAUGAACCAUUUAAAUAAAUUUAUUUUUAUUAUGAAAAUUUGAAACAGUAUCUCAUUAAGUUGCCCAGGCUAGCCUGGAACUUGUGAUGCUCCUGCUUUAGCCUCUCCAGUAGUUAGGAUUGUAGGCAUGUGCUCCAGAGCCCAGAUUGUCUUUUUUUUCAAUACUGAGCAUUGAGCCCAGAGCUUCAUGCAUGCGAGGCAAGUGCUAACCUAGGAAUCUCUCAAGAGUUUCAAAUUGGUAUCAACUUUCCUUUCUCAGCCCCCAUCCUCCUCCUCAUUCCUUGCCUGUUUAGUAAAGGCAUGCACUUUUGCUAGUCUCAUUAAAUUCUUAAAACAACCCUGCAGAGGAGGUUAUGAUCUAAUUCUGCAGAUGAAAAGGAGAGGUUGAUGUCCAAGUUCUCCCUGGGUGAGGCUGGCUUGGAACCUGGGUUCUUCCCACGAAAGCUUUGCUUAUCUUUGAAAGGGCUCUCUUCUGCUUUUGUCCUUAAGAUUCUCCUUUGAACCCUGUGAGAACAAUGUCCUAGCCUGUAUCUGAACCUUUCUUUGGCUAAAUGUGCUUGGAAUUCGGAGCUUGGGGGAUUUUAGAUUGUUAAUACACGGCAGACCCAGCAAUCAAGUACUUGGAGGGGUCUGCAAGAGAGGAGGUGCAGUCACACUGCAAAUAGAUCCAAGAACUGGUUUUAGGUAAAGGCUUUCAGAAAUGUGGAUGGGGUGAUGUAGAGCCUCACGCAUGCUAGGCAAGUGCUUUACAACUAAGCCUCAAGUUUCUUUCUUUUUUUUUUUUCUUUUUGUGGUAUUGGGGAUUGAACCCAGGGCCUUGUGCAUGAAGGCAAGCACUCUACCAACUGAGCUAUAUCCCCAGCCCUCAAGUUUCUUUUUUAAAACUGAAAGUGAGCCUGGUGCAGUGGUCUAAGCCUGUAAUCCCAGUGAUUCUGGAGGCUGAGGAAGGAGAAUUGCAAAUUUGAAGCCAGCCUCAGCAACUUAGUGAGGCCCUAAGCAACUUAGACCCUGUCUCUAAAUAAAAAAUAAAAAAGGGCUGGGGAUAUGGCUUAAGCACCCC
rnacentral:lncRNA from 1 species